GUCGUUGGACAUACCACCCUGAACGCACCCGAUCUCGUCUGAUCUUGGAAGUGAAACGGAGUCGGGCCUGGUUAGUCUUUGGAUAGGGGAAAUCUAGACAUGCCACUGAGA
ensembl:rRNA 5S_rRNA 5S ribosomal RNA